GCUUUUGUGGGGUAGUGGUAACCCAUGUGGAUUCCCUUUCGGAGGGCCCAUGCGCAAGACGUCGGUUCGAUUCCGACCAGGAGUA